GCUACACAACGAGAUGAGGAUGGUCAUUGUCAUUUUCUGAGCUGCGAACGGGCAGAAAACUAACCAACGAGAUGAGGAUGUUCAUUGUCAUUUUCUAAGCUGCGAACGUGCAGAAAGCUUAACAACGAGAUGAGCAUAGUCAUUGUCAUUUUUUAAGCUGCGAACGGGCAGAAAG